rnacentral:lncRNA from 1 species
AUAUACAAAAAGAUGGUCACGGGAUAACUCGAAUGGAGGGAUGGUUGGCAAAUUUUAAACAUACAUCAGUUUCUUUCGAGCAACUCGCCCUCUUACUGUGGCAGAUAUGGAAAUCCCACAAUGACUGGUGUUUCAGAGCUAAACCGGUGAGUCCUCAGCACAUCAUCACCUCAGCAGCAGCCAUGGAAGAAAAUUUUAACAAGUGGGUGGGAAAACAGAGCAAGAGCAGAUGCAGACCUACCCACCUCAGAUCUGGACGCCUAACUCGGUUCAGACUUCGAUUCCUUCAACGCAAAGCUUGUCGCA